rnacentral:lncRNA from 1 species
AGAGGGACCGAUAAUAGAUGAUUGAGCAGUGGUGCCAUCUGUAACACCUGCCAGAGCCAAAUGGGCAUAAAGAGUCAGGGCCUGAGUUAGAAAUUCAGUUCAAGAGACGCUCUAGAACGUGUGAAUGCGUCUUGAAGCGGUUGCAUUUCUAAUUGUUACGACAAAUUUGUGUUAAUACAGUGAUGAAAACGUGUUGUGUUAGAAAGACGAUUAAAAAAAAUUAAUAAUUUAUUAAUGGAUGUUGAACAUUAAUUAGUUCAAAUUUGAAUUGUGAAAUAAGAUUUUUCAACGUGGAAGAGAAGCGGAACAGGACACAAAUGAUGCCAAAGCAAUGCAGGCAAAAUUUUGUACUUCUUCAUUUCUUAUUUCUUCAAUAAUUUCUUCUGUAGGAAUAGAUUUUACGUCAAGAAUGCUACCCGACGGCGUUGUUCAUGAAUGCCAAUGUAAACUCAUUUUAAGAACAUUGAAAAAUAACUGGGAUAAAAGGAAUGAAGAAAAAAGCAGGAUGAUGAAUCAACACCGUUUGGACAUUGGGAAUGGAUCAUGAGUUUGUUAGUUGGCACAACGUGAAAGAAAGGCGAGAAGAAGAAGAAGAAGAAGAAAAGAUCACGCUGCACAUCGCCGCCAUCGAGAGAUUUGGACUUUGACUAGUACUCAAAUAGAAUCCCGAAACACGGUUGAUACAAAAUCGCGCGACAUCCGACACAAUAAGUUCCGGUAAAAGGGAAGAAGAAAAGAAAAGAAAGAAGGGAAAAAAAGCGGUCAAGUGGUGCACUAUACGUAGCUUGACACGGUUCCAUAUUGGUAUAUGUGCUGAUCGUUUCUGUAGUUUAUUGCGAAAUAGAAGAAACGAGAUCAUCCCCGAUCCUCGAGUGCUGAUCGACCUUUGUAUUUUUUUUCUCUCUCUCUCUCUCUCUUUCUUUUUUUUCUUUAAAAAUUCGAGAAUAGUAAGUUGAAUACAUAUAACAGAGAUUCAUACUUAUCACCACUUGCUACAUCUUUCAGAUGCAAGGAGAAUGUAUUAACGGGAAGAGAGAGCGAGGUAUUCGUUAAACUUUUCACGAUUCCACUGGAACGAACUUGGUCCAAUUAAUGCGAUUACUAUGCACUGGAAGCCCCACAUUGUCGUAACAAGGAUGAUCAAAUUUUAAUUCGAAAAGGGAAUCUUAAUAGCACCUUGGGAUUUUAACCCCGCUCGGGGUAAAGAACGGCUUGUGUGACUUAAGUGGUCGUAAAAAGAUACGAAAAGGAUAAAAAAAAAAAGAAAAAAGGAAA